AAACAAUUACAAUACCUACGCUCCGGGCGGCGGACGCUCCGGCGUACUGCGUUUGCCUUUUAAAUUUUUGUGCUUCGCCGCCAUUAAGGCGACGUAGCGUUGUCGGCUUCGGGCAAUGUACGAGAUCUAUCUUCACAGACAUCGUUGUUGACCGCUGUCCGCUUUUGCGGACUGCGAUACAGUCUUCACUAUUGUUUAUUUUGCUACUCGCCGGCUACUAUAAACUUGUUUUUAUUUUUCCAAGUCAUUUCUUAAUCCACUCGUCCGAACAGGCGACGACGGCCCUUCGUAUUCGCCAUCGAAUCUAAUCACUUUAGCGAUCUAUAACAUUUUAAUAUCGAAAUCAUCGCUUCCCGUGGAAGCAUAGACUGGUAGACUGUGUUUCGUUUAUUCUAUCGAAUCGACGACGCGGCUCGAGAAAUAUUUUUUUACACAGUUGAUGACAAGUUACUGGUUUACUGACAUUUAAGACGGUGCUUCUAACAGCAUGAUAAGCUUCUCUGAACACUACUACCUUGCCAUUACCAUAAAGACUUGGAAGCUCCAAGGUGGAGUUGAAAAAAUUACUUCAAUGAUUCAAGGUAUUUUUGUUUGGCCAUGAAUUUAACAAAAGUAUUCAUACUCCAUAAAAAUUCAGAAGAUGAAGAAAAUCAAUAAAGUGAAAGAAAUAUUAUUCAGAUUUAAAGUUCAAAAUAUAUAAAGCGUUUGAUAGAGAAAUGUGAUAGGCGUUUAGAUGUACGAUAAGUAGAAAACUUUGGCAGAGAAAAACGGUAAAGAGUUGAAAAAUACUUAUGUCUAGUUAUAAAGGUGAAAAAAAUUAUUAGAUAAAUGUAAACAAUAAAAGCACAAAAAUGAUUAAAACAAUAAAUGGAAAAUUCCAAGUAAAAAUUCAACAUUCACAGCACCUUAACCAUGUUAGAUAAUUUAUAGAAAAAGUACUUCUUUUUGUUGUAUAAAUAUUCUUCUAUAUUUCAUAAAAGAUAGGAAUCAUUGUGUAUUUAUAUAUUUAUAUCUAUUUAUGUUUGAGAAUUUUAUGCUAAAAUUGUAACUAAAUCAAUUAUAUACAUUCCAUUUUUAAUGAAGAAAGAUAAUAAAUUGUUAGAAAUUAAUUACAAGUUGCACAAUUUCAUAGAAUGAAGUAUAUAAAAAAAAAGAUUUCAAUAUUUUGAUAGUUUACUCAAUUAAUAGAGAUUAAAAUAAAAUAAAAAUCAUAGCCUCAUUAUUCUUAAAUAUUAAUAGUCUAUCAUUAGUUGAUUUUCUUCAUUAAAUUUGGAAUGUGUGCAUUAGUUUUAUUUGUAUUUAUGAUUGCACCUUAAUUGGAAAAUAAAUAUAAUUUAUAUCAUAAUUCAAAGCUAUUGUGAAAUGUAAAACACUUGUAAAAAAAAAAGUAAUUAACUGCUUUAUAAAUAAUUUUAUUGUGGUUUAGUUUUAAUUAUCAAACUUUUAUUUGGAAUUUGUCCUUAUAUUAAAUUAGUUAUAAUUUGUGUUGCUUGAAUGUUGUUUGUUUUGUUUAUUUAUUAUAACAUUGAUGUAAGUCUUUCAACUUUCUAUUGAGUUUCUUUGUCAGAGUUUUCUAGUUGUUUAUAUCUAAUCUUGUUACUUAUUUUUUGUCUUAUUCUAUAUAAUUGUAUAAUUUUUAUACUAUCAAUAUCUUAUUAUUAUUAGAUCUCUCCCUAUCAUGUAUAUCAUUCAAUAAUACCACACAUUUUUAAGUUGGAAUAUCAUACAAAUAUAUUUAUAUUUGUUUGUAAUAAAAUUAUGUUGAAAUAAUAAAAACACUUUAUUUAAAA